rnacentral:lncRNA from 1 species
AUACAAAGUAGACAGAAUAUCUGGAAACUUUUUGUUAUCUGCACUGCUUACACAGUGAAUGUCUGUGAUUCACGAAUGUGGGAUUUUGUAGAAGCUUGUCCUGCUGAAGAUGAGCAGUUAGGUACUGAACAGCACCACGAGGAAAGCAGUCCAUCCCAUGGCCUGGUUGUAUUCCAUUUCUACUCCUUUGUUGAUUUACUUUACCAGUCAGGGAGUGGCAGCUGAUAACAGAAGACUAAAUCAGCUGCAUCAACCCUGUCACACGGUGAAAGGUGUGUGCUGCAGCCCCUACGAACCGGAGCCAGAGCAGAUGCUGCAGAGUCUAUCGCUGGCUGGCUGCCAUUCGCUGGAGGUUUUGAUUAAUAACUUCCAAGGAAGAAAAGAAAAGACUUUUACAAUGAUGGUUUGUCUUCAGUUAUUCUGGUAAUUAUUUUUGUGAGUAGGACGUGCUAGAGAAAUGUUCUGCAUUUUGACCAAGCCAGAUUGCUUUGGAGAACAACCUUUUUAGCAACUAUUACUGCUACAUAUCACUUUUAUGAUCACAGUGAAAUCAUCUGAAAUACAACUUAUUUGUGUUGUACUGAGGUUUUCUUCUUUUUUGACGAUAUAUGUUUAUUUUUUUUUCUCCCCUAUUGAAUAAAGUUAAUGCUACUGCUUGAAGGCUGCA